CUCCCUUCGCUGACUCUCUUUUCGGACUCAGCCCGCCUGCACCCAGGUGAAAUAAACAGCUUUAUUGCUCACACAAAGCCUGAUUGGCGGUCUCUUCACACAGACAUGAGUGAAAUUUGGUGCCGUGACUCGGAUCAGAAGACUUCCCUUAAGAGAUCAAUCCCCUGUCCUCCUGUGCUUUGCUCCAUGAGAAAGAUCCACCUAUGACCUCAAGUCCUCAGACCAACCAGCCCAAGAAACAUCUCACCAAUUUCAAAUCCGGACCCCACUGGAAAUCGGACUGUUCAACUCACCUGGCAGCCACUCCCAGAGCCCGUAGAACUCUGGCUCAAGGCUCUCUGACUGACUCCUUCCCAGAUCUUCUCGGCUUAGCAGCUGAAGACUGAUGCUGCCUGAUUGCCUCGGAAGCCCCAUAGACCAUCAUGGACGCUGAGCUUUAGGUAACUCUCACAGUGGAGGGUACACAUCCAGAUGGCGGGUUCCUGCCUUAACUGAUGACAUUCCACCAGGAAAGAAGUGUAAAUGGCCUGUUCCUGCCUUAACUGAUGACAUUAUCUUGUGAAAUUCCUUCUCCUGGCUCAUCCUGGCUCAAAAGCUCCCCUACUGAGCACCUUGUAACCCUCACUCCUGCCUGCCAGAGAACAACCCCCCUUUUUCCUUUACCUACCCAAACCCUAUAAAACGGCCCCACCCCUAUCUCCCUUCACUGACUCUCUUUUCGGACUCAGCCCGCCUGCACCCAGGUGAAAUAAACAGCUAUAUUGCUCA